rnacentral:lncRNA from 1 species
CACCUCCUCCCUGACGCCCACUCCACUCUGCAGUCAGCUCUGCAGUCAGCUCAGUGUCCCACCCCUCACACCAGCUCUCAGGGAUGCCCCACCAUCCUCUUCAGGAGCCUGGAGCUGGAGACAGAAUUGUGAGGCCUGCCUCUCACCUGCUCCUUCUGACCCUGCCUCCCUGUGGCCUCCAAACAUGCCAGGUGCAGCCCUGCUGGGAUGCUGCCUUCCCAUCCCAGACGUUCUCAGGGAGGCCUCCCCACUCCUCUGCCUCCCUAGCUCCUGCCUUACUUUGUGGUCUGUCUCCCACUAGAAAGCCAGCUCCCAAGGGCAGGGGUUCUGCACUGCCGUUUCGUGCUACGUCCCAGAGCCUGGAACAGGCUGGUUCGACAGCACUCACGGGCCCGUUGCCCCAUGUGUCCCCAUCCAUGGUCCUCACAGGUGCCAGCCGUGCUCUCCCUCGGCUGCAGCCACCUCCACCAGCCUGGCUCAAGCUCUAAUGCAGUGAGAUAGGAGAGCCCUGGCCGGCUCACGAUGACUAGCUCACCGCCCUCUCAAGCAGACAGGCGCAGG